UGCAAACCUUAUUUUACAGAGAGCAGAGGC
rnacentral:piRNA from 1 species